ACACCCAUUGGCAUGGGACCCCAAAGGAUCAUCAUCAGAUCCUAAUUCUAAUAACAAGAAAAAGAUGGGGCUUUACCAGUUAACCUACUUCCAAGCCGGUAACCCGUGACCCACAAGAACUCUGUCCCACUCUAUUGAAAAACACACACAAACACUCUCUCUUCACGAGCAGUUCUAUCUUAUAAAAAUGGCGAGCUAGAGUUCUGCCUCUACCAAAGCAAAAAAACCAAAACAAAUCUCCCCCGCUCUCCUUGCACGAGCAUUUCUCCCUCUACGCGAUCAGGGAUGAGUUCUCUCUCUAAAAACUAGGGUAAAAGAGAAAGCAUCUUUUUCUCUCUCUAAAAAUCAGGGCAUAUGAGGCAUAGAAGUUCUCUCUUUAUAAGAGCAGCUCUCUCUAUGGAUGUACAGUACCAAUGCAAGGCCAUAGGAGCUGUCGUUCUAAAAACCAAGGGGAAGGGUAAAAUAAAUCCCUCUCUACAAACUAGGGCAAAGAAAAAAGCUUGCAAUUUUUGUAGGUUCUCCAAGUGCCUUACAGUAGAGGUCCAAGAAGGAUGGGUUGCCAUGAAUUCUAUUGCUGAGAAAGACGAUGCCUUACCGUAGAGGCCAAGAAGGAUGGUUUACUAUGAAUUCAGAAUUCUAUCGCUAGCAAGACAAUGUCUUUUUUUGAAGAAACUGAGCAAGACAAUGUCCUAUGUCAAUCUAAAAAAAUUGUUAAGGAUAUCUUGUGUUUUGUUUGCUUCUUAAUUUGUAGUAAUCCAUAAUGCAUGACUUGAUGAUUAUCAGCAAUUGAAAUUUGGUUUUAUGCUUUCUAUGUGCCAAAA